rnacentral:rRNA from 1 species
AUACAGAGGGUGCGAGCGUUAAUCGGAAUUACUGGGCGUGAAGCGCGCGUAGGCGGCUUGGUCAGUCGGAUGUGAAAGCCCCGGGCUCAACCUGGGAAUGGCAUUCGAUACUGCCAGGCUAGAGUAUGGGAGAGGGAAGUGGAAUUUCCGGUGUAGCGGUGAAAUGCGUAGAUAUCGGAAGGAACACCAGUGGCGAAGGCGACUUCCUGGCCCAAUACUGACGCUGAGGUGCGAAAGCGUGGGGAGCGAACAGGAUUAGAUACCCUAGUAGUCC